rnacentral:misc_RNA from 1 species
UUUCACGAUCGAUCCAGGCUUGAAUCUCAAACUCAAUCGACCCAGCGACUCGGGAGAUGGAGUUAGUGGAGACUCUGCGAGUCAAGAAAUUCCGGAGGCUAUGACCACUGGAUUUCUUAAGAGUUUCAACGAGGGUUCUAAGGUAGGUAAGGUGAUGGGAGAGAGUAGAGAGAUGUGGGUCUUUACAGAGGAUGGUGUCCGACUCUGUUUCGAGCUCUAACAGAGCUUUAAUGGCGGGUGAGUUAGAAUCAGCAGACUUGGGAGUGGGGUGGGCUUGGAGGUCGCGAGAGGCUUGUCUGAAAGCUUCAAGGACCUUGAGGACUCUCGAAAUCUCCUCCUUGGAAGAUGGGUUUUCCAUUAAUGGCCGAUUCCAGUUGCAGUACUAGAAAGAGAGACAGAGAGACUUAGAGAAGAGGCGAGGAUGCGCAGUAUAAGGAGGAGGAAGAAGAGUUUCGCAGAGAAAUGAAUUCAACGAC